rnacentral:lncRNA from 1 species
GUCUUUUCUCUCUUCUCCAGUCGACCACUCUCUCCAUUUUUGCACCUUUUUGUCAGCUUCUUCUUGAGAGUCCCUUGAGAUAACUUAGGCCUGGAAUAGUGGCUAAGUAUAGGUGAACUUUCUCAAAGCUAGGUAGAAGGUUGGUGGCGGUUUCUAGCGAGGUUCUUUGCCUGUUUCUCUCUCUCUCUUUGGAAGGUGAUUUGCAUGACAUGGGAGCUGUUCCUAAGCCUAUAAAUCAGUCAUAAGGAAGAGGAGAAGUUGCUGUCCAUUUCAACCGAGAUUGGGUUGUGUUUUUCCAUUUUAUAUUCCUUGAUUUUGCCUUGGAAUCUUUUAUUGAUUGAUAUUUAUUGUUUGAUUGAACUCCAACGAUCCCAACAAGUGGUAUGCCCAGUAGAGUUUAUCACAAGAUUAAAGAAAGAAAAUAAAUGAAAUUUUACAUGAUCUAUAUGUUCUAUGUAAUAUUAAUGCGUGAAAUGUAACAAAAU